GAUGAACGCUGGCGGCGUGCUUAACACAUGCAAGUCGAACGAAGCGCUUAAACGGAUUUCUUCAGAAUGAAGUUUUUGCGACUGAGUGGCGGACGGGUGAGUAACGCGUGGGUAACCUGCCUCAUACAGGGGGAUAACAGUUAGAAAUGACUGCUAAUACCGCAUAAGCAUACGAGGAGGCAUCUCCUGGUGUGAAAAACUCCGGUGGUACAGGAUGGGCCCGCGUCUGAUUAGCUAGUUGGCAGGGUAACGGCCUACCAAGGCGACGAUCAGUAGCCGGUCUGAGAGGAUGAACGGCCACAUUGGGACUGAGACACGGUCCAA
rnacentral:rRNA from 1 species